rnacentral:rRNA from 1 species
UAGAGUUUGAUCAUGGCUCAGGAUGAACGCUGGCGGCGUGCCUAACACAUGCAAGUCGAGCGAAGCACUUCAUUAGAACUCUUCGGAGGGACGAGGAAGUGACUGAGCGGCGGACGGGUGAGUAACGCGUGGGCAACCUGCCUUACACAGGGGGAUAACAGUUAGAAAUGACUGCUAAUACCGCAUAAGACCACAUUGCCGCAUGGCAGGGUGGUAAAAACUCCGGUGGUGUAAGAUGGGCCCGCGUCUGAUUAGGUAGUUGGCAGGGUAGAGGCCUACCAAGCCUACGAUCAGUAGCCGGCCUGAGAGGGUGGACGGCCACAUUGGGACUGAGACACGGCCCAAACUCCUACGGGAGGCAGCAGUGGGGAAUAUUGCACAAUGGGGGAAACCCUGAUGCAGCGACGCCGCGUGAGUGAGGAAGUAUUUCGGUAUGUAAAGCUCUAUCAGCAGGGAAGAAAAUGACGGUACCUGACUAAGAAGCCCCGGCUAACUACGUGCCAGCAGCCGCGGUAAUACGUAGGGGGCAAGCGUUAUCCGGAUUUACUGGGUGUAAAGGGAGCGUAGACGGCAGGGCAAGUCUGAUGUGAAAGGUCGGGGCCCAACCCCGGGACUGCAUUGGAAACUGUCCGACUGGAGUACAGGAGAGGUAAGUGGAAUUCCUAGUGUAGCGGUGAAAUGCGUAGAUAUUAGGAGGAACACCAGUGGCGAAGGCGGCUUACUGGACUGUAACUGACGUUGAGGCUCGAAAGCGUGGGGAGCAAACAGGAUUAGAUACCCUGGUAGUCCACGCCGUAAACGAUGAUUACUAGGUGUCGGUGGGCAUGGGCCCAUCGGUGCCGCAGC